GGGUCUUUAGCUCAGUCGGUAGAGCAGCGGACUUUUAAUCCGUUGGUCGAGGGUUCGAGUCCCUCAGGACCCACCA
rnacentral:tRNA from 2 species